rnacentral:sRNA from 1 species
CCACGGGUUCGCACCCGUGGCUAUUUAUGUUUCGUCCCUCCGGGACU